AACAGAAAAAGAAAACAAAAUACAAAAAUAAACAAACAAAAAAAUGUAACAAAGCAAAUUCAUUAUUUUCCUUAAAUUUUUUUACAAACCAUACCCCAUAAAGUCUGUUUGAAAUCUUUGCAAAUUUAUAAAAAUAAAAGAAAAGAAAAAUAAAAUAAAAACUAUUCAUUACCGUAAGGCUCAAAAUUGAUCUCAGGUGCAUCCUGUUUCUGCUGAUCAGCCUUCACACAACUUGUUCAUGACUCUUCCGGAGCCUCCUCACUCCUCAUGGUGCAAUUAUUACAAGAUGGCUGUGCUCGAUCAGUUUCCGGGUCAAAGGAUGGAGGAUGAAGGAGCGAGGAAAAGCGGAGGGAUAUUGAGAAGCACCAUUCGAUUGGCCCAGCCACAGCGGCUUGAACACAGUCAAAUAUUUCUUGAGAAACCUGAAAAUGUGUGUCUGCCCCAUCCAACCUGACAGAGCUUGAGAGGUGAAGAGAUGAGGGGAAGAAUGGCAGAUAAUUGCCAACUGCUGAUGAGCAAAGCUUGUCGCAUCAUACCCAAAACAAUUCGAGGCUGUUAUUGGUGCCAAAGGUGCUUCAACAAAGUACUGAGCAAAGGCUGUGAAUAUUAUGCACUUAUGUGAAUCUUUAUUUAUUUUUCCAUUUUUUUUUUUUUUUUUUCAUUUUUUUUUUUUAGUACAUUUGCAAAGAUUUCAAACAAACUUCUUUUCAGGUGGACAUUAUGGGGUAUUGUUUGUGGAAUUCUGAGGAAAAUAAAGGAUUUAAUCCAUUUUGGAAUAAGGCUGUAACAUAACAAAACGUGGAAAAAGUGAAGCGAUGUGAAAACUUUCCGGAUGCACGGUAGACUCAACUGACAAGUCACGCAGAAGCAAAUGUAUUCUUUGCUCCUUUUUUUCAGCUUAUUAUUCCCUCUCAGUCUGUCUCGCUCUCUAGUCAUUGAGCUGAGUUUACCGGUACGAGAGCACCUGCUGAGGUCCCAUCAUCCUCAGAUGCAUGCUGGGAAAAUUCCUCAAGCUGGACGGAGGAGAAUGCACUAAUGGGCCGACGCUGUCCCAGAAACAGGGACGAAAGCAUGAUGCACAUCGUGAGAAACACACACACACACACACACACACACACACACUGGUGUCUGAACUUCCACACACGUCCUUUUAGUGUGUGUACAUUUAAAAUAAAACCCAUUAUCCGACUGUUCUGUGUCUCAGCGGACCUCUACAUACAGACCUGCUCAGCAACCCUCGACAUCUUCAGUCUGCGUGCUGUUACCAUGUUGGAAACAGGAGAACAUGUUCGUGCUGACAGCAGUCGCAUUAGGAUCUAAUUACCCUGAAUGUUAAACACAGCAUGCUGUGUAAGAGAGAUAGACUCAUAUUGGGGGAAAAUUGCAGGCAGUGUAAUGGCCAGGAGGCGUGAAAAGUACAAAGAAACUAAAGGACUGCAAUAGAGGUCAUGUGACCUGUGUUGCACUUCAGCGAGAUGGACACAGCACAAUGUCCCCUCAUGGAGCCAUUCGGAGCCAGAAAAGCACAGGUGAAUACAGUGCAGAUAAUUCAACUCUCCUCUGUCUACAUCAAGGUCGAGUGAAGUCUCGACUCCUCAUAGACACACUCCACUGGACAACAAUUCACUUCAAUUCUGAGAUACCUUGAACUAAAAUGCCACCAGAAAUGGCUAGAAAGCUGAAAAACAAAGAGCGGCCAUGCGGACGUGAAAUACGUGAACUGAUUGAGCUGAUGGUAGGGUAAAUCCUGACCAUCUGCCUGAACCAGGGAAGAAACAUCUUGGUGAAAUCGACAGGAAGAUUGUUUUAGCUUCUCCUCAAUCAUUCAGAGAUGUAGGUGGUGGUUAUGACUCCCUUACCAAGCAGCUGCAGAGUAGAGUUGACAACACGAAAAGGGGGGAAAUCUCACUUUACCUGAAAAAAAAAAAAGACAUUCAGCGCAAGUGAGGGAAAAGAUGACAAGAGUGGAUACCUAUGGUUGUAUAAAUUGGGAACCAAAGCGGUUGCCGCCAGAUAAAACUGAAGAAACCCGAUGUAGAUGUGCACAAGAAGAAUUAAAGAACAUGCACAAAAAAACAAAAGCAAGAACACAGAAAGUACUGAAAUAAAAUGCUGGCAACUUUCUGCACUCAGAGAAGCAACAUAAUAAAUGGAAUGAAGAGUGGCCAUAUGUGUUGAAGAUGUGCUGGAUAAGGUUUCACAUUAAAGAGCUAACAGGUACGGAUGCAGACAGAGAAGCUGUGGCAAGUAAAUGUAAAAAGAGUCAUUUCCUACCUCAUGUCCCAUGAGAAGAAUAGUAAAAUGGAGGAUAAUCUUAGCAGGCAUGGAAAUCGCCAAAGCAAAGCAUCUAGAUGCUGAUCUUCCCGGAUGCGUGAUGCUGCUUCUGAAAUAUUUCAAUGAAGAACAGGCCGAGAUGUUCCUGAUGGUUGAUGAGACGACGAGGACUGCCCAGCACACCUUGCAUCGUUAUGUGUGCUAUGAUUAUUCCCAAUUGAUCCCAAUUGUCAUUUCAAACUUUUGUUCAUUUUCAAAACACUGAUAUUUGUUGAAAGUUGUCAGCUGUAUAUAUGUCCAUACACUGAAGGUGAAUGGUAGACAACAAGUUGACGCUCUAUCAUCAAUGUUAUCAACAUGUUUAAUCCAAGGCUUCUGAACAAAUGUGUGCACUUUAUAUGACAAGUAGAUUGAUUAUUAUGGUUAGAGUAUCAAAUUAUAACCCAUAUUAGUUUACAUCCAUACACAAAAGUGACUUUACAGCCUUGUAUUGAGAGUUAGAUUGUUACAACUGCAUUUUUAUAGUGAUUGCACAGGUACAGAGUGUAGAUUAAUGAGAAACAAAAUCAUUUAAAUUGUAGUAUCAGGUUGCUAUAACUAAAUUUAUACGGUUUUUUUUUUCCAACUCAUAUUUAAGAAGUAAUUGAUAAAUAAACUAUGUGUAAUUGUAUCUAAAUAUGCUUCAUUCAUUGAAUAAAACCAACAAAUUGUUCAUGAAAUGUGCAAAUAAAACAACAAUAACCAUUAUACACACACAUACACACACACAUAUAUAUAAUAUCAGGGGCGUUCCCAAAAAAAAAAUGGAUUACAAAAUAAUCGAUACUGCAAACAUAAUUCACAAAUAUUACUAAAUAUGGCAUUAAAAGUACAAAAACUUGAUUUUUAUAAAGUAACAGUCAAACAGUGACACCUUUAAACUGUUUAUAUCUUCCAAGUUAUUUUGAAAUGAAUAAAAUAUUUGUGGUUGUUCAUGCAUUUCUGAAAUUGACAUUUUCUUAUGUAUUACAAGUUGGAGUGGAAAUUUUAAGAACAUUAUUAGGCUAAUUUCUACCUUUUUUUCUACAUUUGAGCUCACUCUGUGUAGCACGCGCAGUGGCUGUACUUUUGUGCUGUGGGCGAAGGCGGACUGAUUAACUAAUAUUGUUUCGGGAAGCUGUGCAUAGCAGUUAGAUAUUAGCUCAUGCGAUAACACGCACAAUGUACGAGCACUGUCAGAAGAUAAAAGACAAAGGGAAAUGAUUCUGGAGGGUGGAGGGCUGCUGAGCUCCAGAUACUCCACAAAUGCGUCAGCACUAAUAAGCUGAAAAACAUCGGCCAAUAGGAUAUCCGGAGAGCGUCUGCGUCACAAUCACAACCUAAUGACACUAUGUAGAUGACUAAACCUUGAAUCGAGUGUGGAUAAAGUGGUUUAUAGAGCAACACAGCUGUCAGCAACACACGUUGAUGGUUAGGGUAACAGAUGAAGCGGCUUUUAAAAUAAGAAAUAGUUUCAAAUUGCAUAUUCCUGAUCUUGUUGUGCACUAUUUUGCAAUGUUUUUAACAGCACUGCAUUGAUUUAGCUCCAUUUUGAAAGCUAUAACACCAUCCAAUCAAAGAUUCUCAACUAAAUAACUUGUUUUAGGGCUAAUAAGAAGUUUUCAAUGGGAAAAAAGGAGGCUUUGUGCAUAUUGCAUUGGCAUACCAAAUGUGAUUCUCUUACUAUGCACACGAGAACACAGCGCUCUUCUUAAUUAGCUGUGAAGUGUGAAUUUAGCUAAAGUGACUCUGGAAGAACGUAAUUGACAAAAUGGCUCUUGUUUGGCAGGAACGGGUGGUUGGGUGUUUGGGAAGCAUAGAGGUACUAAUGCAUCCAACGGUGCAUCAAAAAUCAGAGUGGGCUACAGAGGCGGCAAAAAAAUGCUCUUCACAAUUUAAAACAUCUAAUGUAGAAUCACACGUUCAUUAUGAUAGCCCUCCACAGCCACACAGCAAAUAAAGAGCCACUCAACUUAACAAUCAAGAGGGCAACAUUCAAUCCAUAAUGGAUGGCAGUUAUGUACAUGCAUACAUAUA